CCAAGAUGACUAAAGCUGGAGGGACAAUACAAUUUAUCCCCACCUGGAACGCGUUUGACAAUGAAAGGGAACUCAAGAAGCGUAACCCGGAACGUUCUGGGGAACUAGAAGUGCCUUGCACUCAGACACAAAACGGCAAGGACCACUUCCGCCCAGCCCCUUCCCUGCCCUACCCCGCCCAUUCCCAUCCUUCCCUGAGGUCCCGCGCAGGAUCGGAAGUGGCGCCGAGGAGCGUUCGCGAGACAAAUACUCAGUUUUUACCUGGUUUCUGUAUGUUGUCAUCUCGUGUGCACCUGGUCCCUACACUAGCCCGGCUUGUCCAUUCUUUCAUCUGUGAUUCUUCCCAUUCCUGCAUGGAUUUGAAGGCUCUCCUUUCCUCCUUGAAUGACUUUGCAUCCCUCUCAUUUGCUGAGAGUUGGGACAAUGUUGGAUUACUGGUGGAACCGAGCCCACCUCACACUGUAAACACACUCUUCCUGACAAAUGACUUGACUGAAGAAGUGAUGGAGGAAGCACUGCGAAAGAAGGCAGAUCUCAUUCUCUCCUACCAUCCGCCUAUUUUCCGACCCAUGAAACGCAUAACCUGGAAAACCUGGAAGGAGCGCUUGGUGAUCCGGGCUCUGGAGAACAGAGUUGGUAUUUACUCUCCUCAUACAGCCUAUGAUGCUGCGCCCCAGGGAGUCAACAGCUGGUUGGCCAAAGGGCUUGGAGUUUGUACCUCCAGGCCCAUACAUCCUUCCAAAGCUCCCAACUGCCCCACGGAGGGAACCCACAGAGUAGAAUUCAACGUUAACCACACGCAAGAGCUGGACAAAGUAAUCUCUGCGGUGAAAGGGAUUGCAGAUGUUUCUGUCACUUCUUUUUCUGCUAGGACUGAUGAUGAAGAACACACACGGAUCAGUCUGAAUUGUAGUCAGCAGGCUUUGAUGCAGGUGGUGGCUUUUCUUUCCCAGAACAGACAAUUUUAUCAGAAGACUGAAAUUCUGUCACUAGAAAGGCCUCUGCUUCUAUACACUGGAAUGGGACGGUUAUGCACACUGGAGGAAUCUAUUCCCUUGGCAACCAUGAUUGAGCGAAUCAAAAGACACCUAAAACUAUCUCAUGUUCGCCUUGCUCUUGGGGUAGGGAGGACCUUAGAGUCCCAAGUCAAAGUCGUGGCUCUGUGUGCUGGUUCUGGGAGCAGUGUUCUGCAGGGGACAGAGGCCGACCUUUACCUCACAGGUGAGAUGUCCCAUCAUGAUAUUCUGGAUGCUGCUUCCCAAGGAAUAUGUGUCAUCCUCUGUGAACACAGCAACACUGAACGAGGCUUUCUCUCUGACCUUAGAGAUAUGCUGGGCGCUCAUUUGGAGCAUAAGAUUAAUAUUAUCCUGUCAGAAACAGACAGGGACCCUCUUCAUGUGGUAUAAUGCAUAUAGGAACAGGAUGACACAAUAUACAAGUCGAUUGGCUCCCAAUUUGAAUGCACAACAUGGAUCAAUGAAGUUGGUAUCCUCUGGAAGAAUCUUACAAUCUAUCACCCAACCUCUGUACCUUCCAGAAGAGUGAUCUAUAAAUGGCAGUCUCCAUGGCCUCGCUAUUCACCCAGCCCAGUCCACCAGCUACUGCUACCACUAUCAUGUCACCAAAGGAACUUUGGCGCAGACCGCCGUGGAACUCCAUAUUCCUGAAGCCGGAAGGUAUUUUCAGUCUUCCUCUUCUGGUCCUCUGGGCAGCAUGUGACACUGACCAUUCUUUCUGAUAACAUGCUUCUCUUAACUUCUGCAAGAUCACGCCCUGCUUUUCUUACUGUUUCUUUCAUCUCUGUAGGCUUGUCCUCUACUUGGUCAUUACAUGUCACACUUCUAGGCUCAGGUUCUGGCCAUCUAAUCUCACUGUAUGUCCUCUGUCUAGGUAAUCUCACCAAUGCCUGGUUUCAGCUAUAAUCUAAAUAUACAGGAAUCAGUCUUGUACCUUUAGCCCAGAUCUUUCCUCUGGUUUCUUGUGCCAGGAAUCCAACUGCCUAGUUAACAUCUCCACUUGGAAAUCUCAAAGGAUCCUCAGUAAGUUUAAACAUACUACAAUCAUGAACUCAUGAUCUGUCUGCCCAGAAAUGUCGCUCUUCCACUUACCCCAUCAUCUUUCUGGCUAU